rnacentral:lncRNA from 1 species
GGUUUCUUGGAAGGUCUGGUCUGCCCGGCAAUCUUUUCUCUUCCUGAACUCUCCUUGUGCUCAGAAUGGCUCCCCGACCACUUACAAAGUGGGUCCUGUGCGAACCAUUUUAUGUUCAUUGUCCUUUCUAGGGACUUGGCUCCAUGGAGUUCUUCAAAAGAGGAAUUAAAGACUCAGGGACCGUGCCAUUCGCUGUGCUUCUCAAAUCAUCAUCAGCUGCUUUUGAGGAUGAACAACAGAGCCCCAGGAGCUGCUCCCAUAAAUGACUUCCAAUACAUUGCGGAGAGAGACUAUUAUUCAGAUGCCUGCUAUUACACGGCCUGCACUCGGCCGUUCCACACCGCGCCUCUCCUGACUCGCUUUCAGAGAUCCACUGUCGUCAGCAAAGGGAGAGUGGGCCUGGAGCUUCCGGGAAAGUGCUCUGAGUUGGUGAAAGCUCCCGGAAUGGCAGGCAUUCACAGUUGCAAGUUGCCACCUGGAACCAAUCCACUGAAAGAACCUACAGAAUGGGAGAAAGCUACCACGUUCAUAUACCCUCACUCGUGGAAAUAUUGACACAGA